rnacentral:rRNA from 1 species
ACAGAGGUCUCAACCGUUGUUCGGAUUCAUUGGGCGUAAAGGGUGCGUAGGCGGUCGCGUAAGUCAGGUGUGAAAUCUCAGGGCUCAACCCUGAAACUGCACUUGAUACUGCGUGGCUCGGGUACUGGAGAGGGGACUGGAAUUUACGGUGUAGCAGUGAAAUGCGUAGAUAUCAAGUGGAACACCAGUGGCGAAGGCGAGUCUCUGGACAUUUCCUGACGCUGAGGCACGAAAGCCAGGGGAGCAAACGGGA